rnacentral:rRNA from 1 species
AUUGAACGCUGGCGGCAUACCUUACACAUGCAAGUCGAACGGUAACAGGUCUUUCGGGCUGCUGUCGAGUGGCGAACGGGUGAGUAAUACAUCGGAACGUGCCUAGUAGUGGGGGAUAACUACUCGAAAGAGUGGCUAAUACCGCAUGAGAUCUAUGGAUGAAAGCAGGGGACCUUUGGGCCUUGUGCUACUAGAUCGGCCGAUGGCGGAUUAGGUAGUUGGUGGGGUAAAAGCUUACCAAGCCUACGAUCCGUAACUGGUCUGAGAGGACGAUCAGCCACACUGGAACUGAGACACGGCCCAGACUCCUACGGGAGGCAGCAGUGGGGAAUAUUGGACAAUGGGCGAAAGCCUGAUCCAGCCAUGCCGCGUGUAGGAUGAAGGCCUUCGGGUUGUAAACUACUUUUGUACGGAAGGAAAAGUAGUAGGUUAAUACCCUGGGAUCAUGACGGUACCGUAAGAAUAAGCACCGGCUAACUACGUG